ensembl:lncRNA
UCAUGAUCAGUUUUGUUUUUUAAAGUAGGUAACUUUAGUAGACACAAUCACAUGCAUCAAAAGAAAAACAGCUACCAUAUGUCUAUCAUUUCUUAAAUAGAGUAAGAAUUGUAGUAUACUACUGAAUCUGCAGAUGGAACAAGAUAAAGCCCUAAAAAUGUAAAGUAAUAUGAUAAUGUAUAAAAUGGUAUAAAAGACAAGAUUAAAAAGUUUUUUUGCGUACAUUCAUAAGAUGAAGAAAGAGUAAAUCAACAUUUUAUUUUUUCAUCUAAAUAUUUCAAUAAUUGAUUUAUGAUUAGCAUGUCUAAAAAGUCCAUAAUUUUGUUUAAUUAUUUAAGUAUGUGAAUUCAAACAUUAAUGUAAGUACUCUCCAUAUGUUUCUAAAAUGAUAACAAUAAAAAGAACCCUUUUAAUGGAUGAGAUUCUGCCUGGAAAUUAUGCCAACAAAACCUCUCAUAGUAGCUCAGGCAUGUGCUUUCUACUUCUGGGGCAUUAAACUUCAGUCCUGCUUGGUUUUGUUUUAUAAAAUUCCAAUUCAUAGAGUAACUCUAAUUAAUUCCUGACUCUCUCAAAGGGAAUUCCCUCUCAUCCAAGACCUUUCCAAGGUAAAGAAGUGUCUUUUGAAAGUACCGUAAAUAACCUCAUGAAGCAGCAGUAUUGCUAAAGAACAAGGGUAUUUUCAGGACUGCACUAACGUAUCUACGAUCAAUUGGCUUUCAGUUUGACUGACCUAGAGUACAAUCCCAAAUCUGAGUGCUUAUAGGAAUGUUAAAACCGGUUGUAUGUUCAUUUAUCCCACUUGAUGCAUAUUACUCACAAAAUUUAGAGUCGGAAAUGUGGUUAUGCUACAAAUUUAUAUUCUGUCUUAGAUUUACCCUUGAGCAGGAUAAGUAUGGAUACAGUGAAGACCCUGGGUUACAACUAUAAACAGCCUUUCUCUCAGCAGUAGUUUUCUUGUAUCAAUGGUUAACUUAUGCAAGAGAAAUCUGAAGCCAUUUCAGGAGGAGGUACUCUUCAUAAGAUAGGCCUAGAAAGAACUGCAGCAGUCAUACUACUUAUCCUUGUUAAUACGUGGCUACUGUCUCAGUUUUUAUUUGCCCUUUACUUUUUUAGAGGUAUGCUUAAAUGUACCUCUAUCUGCCUAUAUACACACCAAUGUCAAUGAUAAGUGUGAUAAACUGUUUCUGUACAAAUAGAGAUGGACUCUGUGCAGUGGAAGUGUACACAAACAACACUGGUUGAAAUCCUACUGUUAAAAAUGGGUGGAAGAUCACUUUAUCUCUGAGCAAUUCUUCUAGGUUUGUGACUUUGAUUUUUUUUUUCACCAUUAAUUUGGACAUGCAGAUAAUUUUGUCUUAGAAGCAUUAUGAAUAAGUAUACAUAAAUGGCUUCUUUUUAAUUCAAGAUGACAUUUUCUGUUAAUAGGAUGAAUAUCUAACUUUGUGAAAACAUUAUCUUUUGAGUUGUUCGGUGUGUGUGUUAAUUGCACUCCCAAGUUAUUUCAAACAUAAUCACAAAGCCUGUUAAAAACUGAAUUUGGAGUGUUUAUUAUACUUUUUAAAAUGAUUUAAGAUAGAGGCAUACUACUGAUGAUGUAGGUAAU